ensembl:lncRNA
GUGAGUUAUCAUGCCCUCCCCCAGGGGAUCUUUCCAACCUAGGGAUCAAACCCAAGUCUCUUGCAUUGCUGGUGGAUUCUCUACCGUCUGAGCCACCAGGGAAGCCCACCCACAUGGGUAGGCCAUCUUAAAUCAAAAACUAAAAAGAAUGAAUAAAAAAAGAAAAACACCAAACUCACAGAAAUCAAACCAGUGGCUACCAGUGGGAAGAGAAGUGGAGAGAGAACCGAUGUAGGGGAAGAGGAUUAAAAGAUACAUUUUGAAAAGGGAAGGGAUCAAGGGAAAAUGCAAAAAGAGUCCCAUCUCUCACAUAUAGAAAAACAGACAAAAGUUGGAGAACUGCAGACCUCUGAACAACGAGCCUUAGGGUAUAAUCGAACUCUGCUGGAGAGCCUCUAGCCUACUAAAGAUUCUUCUGGCUGCUCAAUCUAUGGUGUUUGGAUUUAUUUUGGAUUUAUUUGUUCUUAGAUUUUUCAACCUAUAUUAGCAUGUAAUGCACAAGUUGCCAAGGAUGUUAUCAACAAUAAAAUUUGCAGAAUAAUCCAUGCCUUAAAAUGAAAGUAG